rnacentral:rRNA from 1 species
AGCGUCAAAGCUUAAUUGUUUUAUUGCUUAAUUUCACAAACAUUAUUUUAAUCCUCCAUCCCCAUUGAGUAAUUCUAUAACAUUAUAGAAAAUUUUAUGUUAAAACUAGUAACAAGAAGAAGACCUUCUCUUAAAUGUAAGUGUUGAUCAGAAAGGACAAACCACUGAUAUUUACCAUCAUUGAACCAAAAAUAGUAACUCAUCAAGAAAACACUAUUUUUAUUUAUGUUAACCUAACACAAGAACAUUAUAAGAAAGAUUUAAAGAAAAAGAAGGAACUCGGCAAAUAUUAACCUCGCCUGUUUACCAAAAACAUCGCCUCUUGAGCUUUAUAAGAGGUCCAGCCUGCCCAGUGACUCUGUUCAACGGCCGCGGUAUCCUAACCGUGCGAAGGUAGCGUAAUCACUUGUUCUUUAAAUGUGGACUAGUAUGAAUGGCACUACGAGGGUUACACUGUCUCCUUUCUCUAAUCAGUGAAACUAAUUUUCCCGUGAAGAAGCGGGAAUACACCUAUAAGACGAGAAGACCCUAUGGAGCUUUAAACAAUCAGCAAUUACUUUAAAAAUUAAAAAUUUCAGAAUAUUCAUUUUUUAAGUAGCGUGACUGCAAGUUUUCGGUUGGGGUGACCAUGGAGAAUAACACAACCUCCACAUUGAACGAAUUUCAUUCUAAGCUAAAAAUUACUUAUUAAAGCAUCAACACACUGACAUCUAUGACCCAAUAUAUUUGAUCAACGAACCAAGUUACCCUAGGGAUAACAGCGCAAUCCACUUCAAGAGCCCCUAUCGACAAGUGGGUUUACGACCUCGAUGUUGGAUCAGGGUAUCCCAGUGGCGCAGCCGCUACUAAAGGUUCGU